GGGGGUGUGGCUCAGUGGUAGAGCACUCCUCUAGCACUUGCAAAGCCCUGGGUUCAAUCCUCAGCACCCCAU
rfam:Ictidomys tridecemlineatus contig136017, whole genome shotgun sequence.